AUUGAACGCUGGCGGCAGGCUUAACACAUGCAAGUCGAGCGGGGACUUCGGUCCUAGCGGCGAACGGGUGAGGAAUGCUUGGGAAUCUGCCCAGUAGCGGGGGAUAACGUUUCGAAAGGAACGCUAAUACCGCAUACGCCCUACGGGGGAAAGGGGGGGAUCUUCGGACCUCUCACUAUUGGAUGAGCCCAAGUCGGAUUAGCUAGUUGGUGGGGUAAAGGCCUACCAAGGCGACGAUCCGUAGCUGGUCUGAGAGGAUGAUCAGCCACACUGGAACUGAGACACGGUCCAGACUCCUACGGGAGUCAGCAGUGGGAAAUAUUGGACAAUGGGCGAAAGCCUGAUCCAGCCAUGCCGCGUGUGUGAAGAAGGCCUUCGGGUUGUAAAGCACUUUAAGCGAGGAGGAAUGGCUCUUGGUUAAUAACCUUGAGCAGUGACGUUACUCGCAGAAUAAGCACCGGCUAACUCUGUGCCAGCCGCCGCAGUAAAAC
rnacentral:rRNA from 1 species